CGAGCGCAGACGGUUUAUUAAGCAAGAUGUGACAUCCCCGAGCUUAACUUGGGAACUGCGUUUUGAACUGGUAAGCUAGAGUAUGUCAGAGGGGGGUAGAAUUCCACGUGUAGCAGUGAAAUGCGUAGAGAUGUGGAGGAAUACCGAUGGUGAAGGCAGCCCCCUGGGAUAAUACUGACGUUCAUGCUCGAAAGCGUGGGUAGCAAACAGGAUUAGAUACCCUGGUAGUCCACGCCCUAAACGAUGUCAAUUAGCUGUUGGGCAACAUGAUUGCUUAGUAGCGUAGCUAACGCGUGAAAUUGACCGCCUGGGGAGUACGGUCGCAAGAUUAAAACUCAAAGGAAUUGACGGGGACCCGCACAAGCGGUGGAUGAUGUGGAUUAAUUCGAUGCAACGCGAAGAACCUUACCUGGUCUUGACAUGUACGGAAUCUUCCAGAGACGGAAGAGUGCCUUCGGGAGCCGUAACACAGGUGCUGCAUGGCUGUCGUCAGCUCGUGUCGUGAGAUGUUGGGUUAAGUCCCGCAACGAGCGCAACCCUUGUCAUUAGUUGCCACCAUUCAGUUGGGCACUUUAAUGAGACUGCCGGUGACAAACCGGAGGAAGGUGGGGAUGACGUCAAGUCCUCAUGGCCCUUAUGACCAGGGCUUCACACGUCAUACAAUGGUCGGUACAGAGGGUAGCCAAGCCGCGAGGUGGAGCCAAUCUCAGAAAACCGAUCGUAGUCCGGAUUGCACUCUGCAACUCGAGUGCAUGAAGUCGGAAUCGCUAGUAAUCGCAGGUCAGCAUACUG
rnacentral:rRNA from 1 species